rnacentral:rRNA from 1 species
AACGAACGCUGGCGGUAGGCCUAACACAUGCAAGUCGAACGGGCUCCUCGGAUCUAGUGGCGGACGGGGGAGUAAAGCGUGGGAACGUGCCCUUUGGUUCGGAAUAGAACCGGGAAAAUGGGAGGAAUACAGGAUAAGACCUACGGGGGAAAAAUUUAUCGCCGAAGGAUCGGCCCGCGUUAGAUUAGGUUGUUGGUGGGGUGAUGGCUCACCAAGGCGACGAUCCAUAGCUUGUUUGAGAGGAUGAUCAGCCACACUGAGACAGAGACACGGCCCAGACUCCUACGGGAGGCAGCAGUGGGGAAUCUUAGACAAUGGGGGAAACCCUGAUCUAGCCAUGCCGCGUGAUCGAUGAAGGCCUUAGGGUUGUAAAGAUCUUUCAGGGGGGAAGAUAAUGACUGUACCCACAGAAGAAGCCCCGGCUAACUCCGUGCCAGCCGCCGCAGUAAGAC